rnacentral:rRNA from 1 species
AUACGGAGGGUGCAAACGUUAAUCGGAAUUACUGGGCGUAAAGCGCGCGUAGGUGGUUUAGUAAGUCGGAUGUGAAAGCCCUGGGCUCAACCCAGGAAUUGCAUUCGAUACUGCAGAACUAGAGUAUGGUAGAGGGAAGUGGGAUUUCCGGUGUAGCGGUGAAAUGCGUAGAUAUCGGAAGGAACACCAGUGGCGAAGGCGACUUCCUGGGCCAAUACUGACGCUGAGGUGCGAAAGCGUGGGGAGCAAACAGGAUUAGAAACCCGGGUAGUCC